rnacentral:rRNA from 1 species
GCGCCUACGGGGGGCAGCAGUGGGGAAUAUUGCACAAUGGGGGAAACCCUGAUGCAGCAACGCCGCGUGAGUGAAGAAGGUUUUCGGAUUGUAAAGCUCUGUUAGCAGGGAAGAGGAAGGACGGUACCUGCAGAGGAAGCCCCGGCUAACUACGUGCCAGCAGCCGCGGUAAUACGUAGGGGGCAAGCGUUAUCCGGAUUUACUGGGUGUAAAGGGAGCGUAGACGGUAUGGCAAGUCUGAUGUGAAAACCCGGGACUCAACCCCGGGACUGCAUUGGAAACUGUCGGACUAGAGUGUCGGAGAG